rnacentral:piRNA from 1 species
UAGUUUAUUAAAGUAUUGUGC